rnacentral:rRNA from 1 species
UGAAGCGGCAACAGCUCAAAUUUGAAAGCUGGCCCCCCCGGGGGUCCGCGUUGUAAUUUGUAGAGGAUGAUUCGGCGAGGGCUCCCGCCUAAGUCCCCUGGAACGGGGCGUCAUAGAGGGUGAGAAUCCCGUAUGCGGUGGGCUGCCUUAGCCACGUGAAUCUCCUUCGACGAGUCGAGUUGUUUGGGAAUGCAGCUCUAAAUGGGAGGUAAAUUUCUUCUAAAGCUAAAUACCGGCCAGAGACCGAUAGCGCACAAGUAGAGUGAUCGAAAGAUGAAAAGCACUUUGGAAAGAGAGUUAAAAAGUACGUGAAAUUGUUGAAAGGGAAGCGCUUGCAGCCAGACUUGUCCGCAGUUGCUCAGCCGGUCUCCUGACCGGCGCACUCUUCUGCGGCCAGGCCAGCAUCAGUUCGGGCGGUCGGAUAAAGGCCCCGGGAACGUAGCUCCUCUCGGGGAGUGUUAUAGCCCGGGGUGGAAUGCGGCCAGCCCGGACUGAGGAUCUCGCUUCGGCUAGGAUGCUGGCGUAAUGGCUGUAAGCGGCCCGUCUUGAAACACGGACCAAGGAGUCUAACAUCUAUGCGAGUGUUUGGGUGUCAAACCCAUGCGCGUAAUGAAAGUGAACGGAGGUGGGAACCCUCGCGGGUGCACCAUCGACCGAUCCUGAUGUCUUCGGAUGGAUUUGAGUAAGAGC